AUCGAACUGACGAGUCCCAAAUAGGACGAAACACGCGUCCAGGAU
rnacentral:hammerhead_ribozyme from 1 species